ACGGGUGUGCAGCUUCUUUAGGAGAUGGGAAUAAUGACAGGCUAUAGAUCCUGCCUUUAUUGGGGUGGUGCUGGCAGCCCGGAUCUCAGUCCCUGCUCCAUCAGCAUCCCCAUGCAGAUCCUAUCCCCUGCUCUAUUUUAAAACUUUUGCACAUCCUAUCCCCCCCACCCCAUCAGUUUAAAAGCAAGCAGAGCCAAAAUAUCCUCACAAACCCCAGCUCCUUCCUUGUGUACAGCUCCCAGCACUGGGGCUUGGAGGUGGUUUUAAGGGCAGUUCUCUGAGUGCAGGUUUCUGCUCUUUUCCUCAGGUUUUCCUACAUGGAAAUGCUGCAAGUUGAGAUGAGGGUGGGCUGCUCCUGAUGCAAACCUGCCUGGUUAAAGCCACAGGAGAAGCCCUCUUGCUUCCAGCUCCUCGUUUCCACAUGGAGGAGAGGGCACAGAAGAGAGGAAGAAAGGGUCAGGGAAUGACUCUCCCCCCACCCGCUGAUGAGGUCCCAAAAUUUCUUUUCUCACUGGGCAGUGAACAGUGAGGGACAAGCAUCCUCCAGCCACUGUCCCACACCAUGAGCUGGAGCAGCUUCUCCUUCUCUUCUGGGAUCAAUGCUGAAGUUUGGUCACAUUUCUUGGCUCAGUUGGCAGUGAUUAAAAUUCACGGCUCACUUUUGUUUAUAGUUGGUUGUUUACUUUGUUGAAUUUUUAAAAACUUGUUAGAAUGCAAUUGAACACAGAUUCAACAGUAUUUAGGCUUGAAAAAUAAAGAUGCA